ACAUGAAUGAUGGCAGCAGAAGAGAGAGAGUACAGCCCCUUGUCACUUGUGGCUCUCCCUUGUGCGCAUGACAUCAGUCGACACACGGGCUGUACCCUCUCUCUUCGACUGCCGCCUUUUAUGU